AGAUGGUAUUCCGAUACGCAUACAUUUUACCUUCUGGUUGGUGAGUGUGUGCCGUCACAUUAGAAGACUUGGCUAUGAUACUUGGUCUCUCGAUUAUUGGUUUUCCAGUGACAGGAGUGACAGUAAGUAGUUUUGAUGCCCUAGAAGCUGAAUGCUUGGAUCAGUUUGGGGUGGCACUUAGGAAGGCGGAUUGCAGAGGUAGUUUUAUAAAGUUGACGUGGCUAUAGAAUCCGAAAGACUGUUUAGUCUUGAAGGAUAAAAUUGAAAUUCAAAGGUACGUAAAGUGCCACAUCAUGUUGUUAUUCAAGACGAUCCUGUUUGGAGACAAGUAUGGGAUAGCGGCGCACUAAAAAUUUUUUCCUUUGCUGCGGGACUUUGCUAGAAUCGGUGAAUUCAGUUGGGGAUCGACUUGCCUGGAACACUUGUUACAGAUCUCUUUGUAGGGCAUCUCAUUUUGACUAUAAGGAGGUCGAUGGUCCACCAACACUUUUGCAAAUCUGGGCAUGGAUCCAUUACCGUUUCUUGUGUCGAUUCUUGUCAAUCCCUGACUUUUUCCACUUGCAAACAGGUAAAAUUAUCUAGCAACAACUUCAGCUAUAUGUUAUCACCGUAUCUUAAUGUUUUAGUUUAGCGUUUGUUAACAAAAUAAAUGAUAUCUGGUGGCGUAAUUG